CUCGGCCUGGCCGAGGAAUGAAAGGCUGCUGCCUGCGAGCUGCAGCCUGUCUUUCCGGGCAUCUAGUAGUGGUUUGGUUGUGUGGAUCUGCAGCCUUAGAAAUAAAAUGCUGCUCGUUCUCGCGUUGUACUCGACUUGAGUGACAAUCCGCCGCCGCCAACCUGGUUACCACAAAAAGCUGAGAUUGCAGGGAGUGAAAGAACAAGCGGGAUGGAGACCCCAGACCUCUUGUCAGCAGCCCUGGAUGAGUCGGGAAUUGGGGAGGAGGAAAUGGCCAACAACCAUGCACAAGACUCCAGUGCGAACAUGUCAAGAUUUCAAAUUCCUCCGCACCUGAUGAACUACCUGCCGCCACACAUGAUCCAGCAGAUGGCACAAGCCAUGGCCCAACAAAUGGCGCAAGCGAUGGCUCAGCAGAUGCCUUUUCCCCAAGGAGGCUCUGGCAGCAAGUUCCCGCCUGGAGGAGGUGGGCCCCGUGGCCCCGGCAUGGAUGGAGCUGGCAAGGGUUCAGGUUCACCUUACUACAUGGUUCCGCCUUUUGGGUUCAAGGCCGGAAAUGGAUCGGCACCUCUAUACCCCAUGUUUCGGCCACCUUUCGACAUGAAGUACGGUAUGGGACCAGGAGCUAUGCCCGCCCAGGCUCAGCAAACUGGAGAGGACGCUGAAGAAGAGGAAGAACUGGGACUGGCCGAGACGUAUGCUGACUACACACCUUCUAAAUUGAAAAUUGGAGAGCGGCACCCAGAUGCUGUGGUGGAGACCAGCUCUUUGUCAAGUGUACAGCCGCCGGCCGUGUGGUACAACCUGUCUAUUCCGGAGGAAGUCAUCGAUCGUGCACUGCUAUCUGCACUUCAGCUGGAGGCAAUUGUCUAUGCCAGCCAGCAGCAUGAAGUGCUACUUCCUGAUGGGAGCCGAGCGGGGUUCCUCAUUGGAGACGGUGCUGGUGUGGGCAAAGGUCGAACCAUUGCAGGGAUUAUUUAUGAGAACUACCUCUUGGGUCGCAAGAGAGCUAUCUGGGUAAGCGUGUCCAAUGAUUUGAAGUAUGAUUCCGAACGAGACCUGCGGGACAUUGGUGCUGGAAAAAUUGAGGUUCAUUCUUUAAACAAGUUCAAAUACGCGAAGAUCUCCUCCAAGGUGAAUGGCAGCGUGAAGAAGGGCGUCAUAUUUUCCACGUACUCGUCUCUGAUUGGUGAAAGCCAAAGUGGCGGCAAGUACAAGACACGACUCAAACAGCUCCUGCACUGGUGUGGAGACGACUUUGAUGGAGUUAUUGUAUUUGACGAGUGCCACAAAGCCAAGAACCUGUGUCCCGUGGGCUCCUCCAAACCGACAAAGACUGGCCUCACCGUGCUUGAACUGCAGAACAAGCUUCCCAAAGCACGAGUGGUCUAUGCGAGUGCUACAGGCGCCUCUGAGCCAAAGAACAUGGCCUACAUGACUCGCCUAGGCAUCUGGGGUGAAGGAACACCGUUCCGGGAGUUCACAGAUUUCAUUUCAGCUGUCGAGAAGCGAGGCGUUGGUGCCAUGGAGCUGGUUGCCAUGGACAUGAAGUUGAGAGGCAUGUAUAUGGCCCGCCAGCUGAGCUUCACUGGUGUAUCCUUCAAGAUCGACGAGAUCCCACUGGCAAAGAACUUCAUCGCCAUGUACAAUGAAUCGGUGAAGCUGUGGGUGGAUGCUCGUGCAAUGUUCCAAGAGGCAGCCGAGCUGAUGGAGGGCGAUUCGCGCAUCAAGAAGACAAUGUGGGGCCAGUUCUGGGCCUCUCAUCAGCGUUUCUUCAAGUACCUCUGCAUCGCUUCUAAGGUGCCACACGUGGUGUCCCUUGCCCGAGAGGCCGUCAAAAACGAUAAGUGUGUGGUGAUUGGCCUGCAGUCUACGGGGGAGGCUAGGACACUGGAACAGUUAGAGGAACAAGGUGGUGAACUCUCGGACUUCGUCUCUACGGCAAAGGGAGUCUUGCAGACUCUCAUCGAGAAGCAUUUCCCGGCACCCAACCGCAAGAAGUCUCUGAAGCUUCUGGGGCUGGGUGGCAUUGUGGAUGAACUAAGCCCCUCGCCGCCCCCGUCAUCUUCGUCGGGGGGACACAAGCGGAAGAGUGCUCGACAGGCUCGGCAGGGGGUGAAGCGCUACAGGGAGGCUUCCUCGGGUGAUGACGAUGACAGUGACGUUGAGGUCAAGAGUGAGCCGGAGAGCGACUUUGAGCCGUCUGUGUCCAGUUCGGCAGCAGAGGAGUCGGAUGGCAGCUCGGCUGUCGAAUCGGAUGCAGAAGAUGACUUCAACCCGUUCGGUGAUGACUCGGACAGCGACGAUCCCUGGGCAAGUCGUAAGAACAAAUCUAAGAAUAAAAGUAAGAAGCAAAAAACCAAAAAGAAGAAAAAGCACGAUAAAUCCAUGGGAAAUGGCGCCGCUUCGCAGCCAGCCGUCCGGAAUGUGCCCACUGUGGACAGUGAAAAGAAGGCGGCAGCCAUGAAACAGGAACUGCUGGAUCGGCUGGAAAAGCUCGGGGACAAGCUUCCACCUAACACACUGGACCAACUCAUUGACGAACUCGGCGGGCCCGAGAAUGUCGCUGAGAUGACAGGCAGGAAGGGGCGUGUGGUGAGCACAGACAACGGCACAAUCCAGUACGAGUCUCGUUCUGAAGUUGACGUGCCCUUGGAAACCCUGAACCUUACUGAGAAACAGAGGUUCAUGGAUGGCGAGAAGCACAUUGCCAUCAUCUCCGAGGCGGCGAGCUCUGGUAUCUCACUGCAAUCGGACAGGAGAGCGAAAAACCAGGCUCGUAGGGUCCACAUCACCCUUGAGCUACCGUGGAGUGCAGAUAGAGCAGUGCAGCAGUUUGGACGUACACACAGGUCAAACCAGGUGAAUGCCCCAGAGUACAUAUUCCUCAUUUCUGACUUGGCUGGUGAACGAAGAUUUGCUUCCAUUGUGGCCAAACGUCUUGAGAGCUUGGGUGCACUGACUCACGGUGACAGGAGAGCCGGCGAAUCCAGAGACCUUUCUCGUUUCAACAUUGACAACAAGUAUGGCCGAGCUGCCCUGGAGACCAUGAUGCGAGGCCUUAUGGAGAUGGAAAUCCCGCCUCUGGUUCCACCACCUGAGGACUACGAGGGGGACUUCUUUGCCGAUUGCCGAAAAGCACUGGUCGGUGUAGGCUUGGUCAAUGAGGAUGAAUUCAGCAAGAUGCAGACACUUGACAAAGACUACAACAAUAUGAGCAAGUUCCUGAACCGCAUCCUGGGCAUUGAAGUAGAGCUUCAAAAUGCCUUGUUCAAGUACUUCACGGACACACUGGAUGCCAUCAUCUCCGAGGCCAAGAAGACCGGCCGCUACGACCUGGGCAUCUUGGACCUGGGCACGGCAGGUGACAAUGUGCGGCGUGUCAAGGUGGACGAGUUCAUCCGCAGUCACGCCACUGGCUCAGCCAAGACUGAGCUUCACACUGUGAGCGUUGAGCGCGGCCUCUCUUUUGAGGCCUCCCAGGACAUCUGGAAGGAGCUAACGGGCAAGGAGGAAGGCUACUACCUUUCCAACCAGGUGCGUUGUGGGAAGAAGACGGCAGUGCUGGCUGUUGCGGACCAAGCCCGGAGGUCGAAGGAGAAAAAGGAAAGGCUGUUCCGCCUGUACAGGCCAAACACAGGUCUCCAGGUUCGCCAGGAGAGCCUCAAUGAGUUAAAGAGCAAGUACAAAAAGGUCACUCCAGAUGAAGCACAACCCCAUUGGAAAGAGCAGUAUGAAUCAUCUGAAAACACAUGUAGUCACAUUUACUGGUACAACAGCUGCCGCAAGAAGACUAUGGGCAUGGUGUGCGAGAUUGGGCUGAGGCGGCGCACUUAUCAUGUGUUGAGCGGGUCGGUGCUGGCUGUCUGGGCCAAGGUGGAGAGCGUGCUGAGCUCAGUCCAUGGCCACCACAAUUCCUCCAAACUGCAGGUGGUGCGCCUCAAGACUGAGGAUAACUUGCGCAUCGUCGGUACCAUUAUUCCAAGCAACUGUGUCGCCCCGCUGGUGAACGUUCUCUCCCAAGACGCCGAGAAGACCAACUCCGAGACCUUUUGAGGCAGGGCCCGCUAUCUACUCCCAAGUGCAAGUGUGCAGGCCUGCACUACCCGCGUUGUUGUCACUGGGACGGCGCCGUUGUCGUGCUUGGCAGUGGUGUUGGCAGCCAGGAAGGUUUUCUUCCUCCGUGGACUCUCUCUCCUCUGUGUCUUCAUCGGGUGUCUUGACUCUUUGUGCAUGUACGUCACUGUGCCGCUCUCCUCCUGCUAUACAGUCGUCUGAAACCCGUGAUGUCAGUAGAGACGGGACGUUGCUUCUCCAUUUUAUGUCUCAUUUCUCUUUGUCCCUCUUUUCAUUUGAAGUGAAGGAAGAAAGUCUGCUGCGAGAACCAUACCAACACAUUGCAACAAAAAAACGGGCUAGGAAUGAUGUUUCAAUUUUUCUCACCCUCCUCUCGUAUCCCGAGGGAGGGAAAAGUUUAGUGAGAGAGGAUGUUGAAAAAAUGUGGAAGUCUCGUGUGUGUGUAUGGUGAUGAAAGAAAAUGUAUGUAGGAAUGUGUAUGUAUGUAUCAUGAUCGCUUCCCACAGUGGAGAACACAAGCAAGGACAGCUUUUGUAGAUAAUUCUCUCACCUUAUCUUCAGUUGUCAUUUUUUUUUUCUUUUGUACUCACUGCCUUUUUUAAAAUUCUUGUUGCUGUUCUCUCUCACGUUGCUGAGUGGCACCUUGUCAAACUUUUUUCCUCCCCAUGUGUUGUUACAGACCCAUUUGUUUUUGUAUGUCACGAAUCAUUUUUUGGAGAAUGGGAAAGCUCUGUCAUUCCCAAGUACACCCAUCUCAUUUAGCACACUACAACACCCCGUGCAUUUCAGGACUUUCCACCUUAUCUGUCCCUUUCAUAAUCCUCUGUUCUGAAAAUGCCAAUUUGUUCUGAUAAGCCAUAUUUGGCAUAAAUGUCAUGCAGUACUCAGUUUAGUCAGACCAAGUCGUGUUUCCCGCCCCUCAAGACAGAAAUCAUGUAACAGUGAUGAGAUGGCAAGCGCAAGCUGGCAGGUGGCCAUGUGUUUAGUGAAGCGUGUUUCGUAACUAUUUAUUACUAUCUAGCUCUUACAAGAAGACAGUGUUUACGGGCAGUAAAACAGUAAUGCUUCUUACCUUAAAUGCUUCUUUGUCCUCCUCCUCCUCCUAUGACUCAGUUUGGCAACUCUUGUUGAUUGCUUCAGUCAGGAAAGGCAAAUGAACAAGUUGAUUUCAAAAUUAUCAUGUGGUUCCCCAUUCCCAUGGAAAUGACUCUGAGAACUCAAAGUUCUGAAAUAAAAGGACAAUGCAAA